rnacentral:rRNA from 1 species
UCCGUAGGCGGUUUAAUAAGUCAGUGGUGAAAGCCCAUCGCUUAACGAUGGAACGGCCAUUGAUACUGUUAGACUUGAAUUAUUGGGAAGUAACUAGAAUAUGUAGUGUAGCGGUGAAAUGCUUAGAUAUUACAUGGAAUACCAAUUGCGAAGGCAGGUUACUAUCAAUAUAUUGACGCUGAUGGACGAAAGCGUGGGGAGCGAACAGGAUUAGAUACCCUGGUAGUCCACGCCGUAAACGAUGGAUACUAGCUGUUCGGAGCAAUCUGAGUGGCUAAGCGAAAGUGAUAAGUAUCCCACCUGGGGAGUACGUUCGCAAGAAUGAA